rfam:Hymenolepis microstoma genomic scaffold, pathogens_HYM_contig_3445
GCCGCAGUGGCGCAACGGAGAGCGCGUCCGGUUUCUACCCGGAAGGUUGUGGGUUCGAAUCCCACCUGCGGUA